GCCCCCGCCCUCCUGCUCCUGCUGCUGCUGCUGCUUUUUGCAGGCACCCCCACCACCCCUGAGUCAAUCCAAGAAACUGAGGUCAUCAACCCAGGACCGCCUAGGGGCCAAACUUCUCCAGAUCCCUACUGGAAGACUCUGGAUGUGGGUGUUGGGGGCAGGAACCUGAUGACUCUGAGCUCUCUGGCUCUAGAGAUAUUGAUGAGUCAAGGGACCCCAAGAUCAUCCCUGAAGUGAUCCAACCCUUGGUGCUUCUAGAUAACCACAUCCCUGAGAGGGCAGGGCCUGGGAACCUGGUCCCACUGAAACCAAGGAACUGGAGGACAACGAGGUCAUCCCCAGGAGGAUCUCACUCUCUGCGGGGGACCAGGAUGUGUCCAAUAAGGCACCCAUGUCCAACACUGCCCAGGGCAGCAACAUCUUUGAGAGAAUGGAGGUCGUGGCAGUCCUGAUUGUGGACAGCAUCGCGGGCAUCCUCUCUGCUGUUUUCCUGAUCCUGCUUCUGGUGAACCAUAUGAAGAAGGAUGAAGGCAGAAACGACCUGAGCAGGAAGCCCAUCUACAAAAAAGCCCCUAGCAAGGAGUUAUUACGCUUCUUCUAU
rnacentral:lncRNA from 1 species